GGUUAAACCAAUUAAGUGCAGAUGGUGGAUGCCUUGGUAUGGAAUGACGAUGAAGGACGUAGCAGCCUGCGAUAAGCCUCGGUGAGGUGGCAAGCAACCUUUGACCCGGGGAUUUCCGAAUGGGGUAACCCGGUCCGAUGGAAGAUCGGAUCAUCACAAUCUGAAUACAUAGGGUUGUGAAGGCAACCUGGGGAAGUGAAACAUCUCAGUACCCAGAGGAAGAGAAAACACCGAUACGUGGUUCUGUGACUAUCACCCGCGAAACGUUAGCGGGCGGUAGUAGCAGUGCCACAGAUUCCCGGAGUAGUGGCGAGCGAAACGGGAACAGCCCAAACUUAGGAGCGCUUGAACUGCGAUGCGUGCGUAUCUUUGAUAGGCACGAAGCGCGGUUUGACGGCUCAUUCGGCCAAUGUGUUUCUAAGCGUUGUAAGAGGGUAGCGUCCCAGGGGUGAAUGAACCCUGGGAGGAGAAUAAUGAAUCAAAACUUUCCUAGUCGAACGGCCUGGAACGGUCGGCCAGAGCAGGUGACAGCCCUGUAGGCGAAAGGAGUUUUGUGCUCCUAGUUACCAUUCUUGAGUACCACGGGACUCGUGAAAUCCAGUGGGAAUCCGGCGCGACUAUGCGUCAAGGCUAAAUACAUUCCAUAACCGAUAGUGAACUAGUACCGUGAGGGAAAGGUGAAAAGCACCCCGGUGAGGGGGAUGAAAUAGUACCUGAAACCAUCUGCUUACAAGGAGUCAGAGCGCUUACCACUUCAGCGUAGGUUUUUUGCUUACGGCCCUCGUGCCAGUCAGUUACCGUACCACCUGUAACACAGGGAGGCGGCUGAAUCUGGAACCGAGCUGUAGGCGAACCUGCGCUGAAGUGGUGCGUGAUGGCGUGCCUAUUGAAGAAUGAGCCAACGAGUUAGCUGGUAGUAGCGCGAUUAAGUCCUACGGGACGAAGUCAAAGUGAAAGCGAGGCUUAAAGGCCGUCCUGAGUUUGAAAAGUGGCUUGUUCCCCUCGUGGGAGCAUUCCGCUUUUCUUACUCAAACGCUGCUAUCACUAGACCCGAAACCGGGUGAGCUAGCCAUGGCCAGGGUGAAGCACGGGUAAUACCGUGUGGAGGCCCGAACCCACGCGUCGUGCAAAACGCGGGGAUGAGUUGUGGCUAGGGGAGAAAUUCCAAUCGAACUCGGUAAUAGCUGGUUCUCCUCGAAAUAGCUUUAGGGCUAGCCUGUUCUAUAUUUCCUGAUGGUAGAGCACUGAAUGGGUCUCCGUGGCGCAAGCCUAGGUGACCCAACCAAACUCCGAAUGUCAGGAAACUUAAGGAAUGGAGUCAGAGCGUGAGGGCUAAGCUUCACCGCUCAAAAGGGAAACAGCCCAUGAUCACCAAAUAAGGUCCCUAAAUUCCAGCUCAGUGUUAAAGGCGGUCUCGUCGCUUAAACAACCAGGAGGUUGGCUUAGAAGCAGCCACCCUUUAAAGAAAGCGUAACAGCUCACUGGUCUAGCGACUUGGCGCCGAAAAUGUACCGGGGCUUAAGCUGGAUACCGAAUUUGUGGGCCCUGUACCGUUACUGGUACAGGGCGGUAGAGGAGCGUUCUGAGCAGCUGUGAAGUCGGACCCGUGAGGGCCGGUGGAGCGCUCAGAAGUGCGAAUGUUGGCAUAAGUAGCAAAAAGACUAGUGAAAACCUAGUCCACCGUAAACCUAAGGUUUCCUGGGCAACGCAAAUCGACCCAGGGUGAGGCGGGCCUAAGGCGAGGCCGAAAGGCGUAGCCGAUGGACAGCAGGUUAAUAUUCCUGCCCCGCCGCAAGGUUCCAAUGGGGUGACGUCGUUGUGAAGGUUCUGCGCGAUUUGGUUAUGCGCGUGGCUUGAGUGGCCGUGCUCGGCAGGUAAAUCCGCCGAGCAUAAGCGGUUGCUUGGGACGCAGGGAAAGGGGCAACCCAGACCCAAUAGAACUGGAAUGACGGCCUAGAAAACCCCCUAGGGUUAACCUAGCGGCGACCGUACCGGAAACCGACACAGGUGGGUGAGGCGAGUAGCCUCAGGUGUACGAGAGAACCCUCGUUUAGGAACUCGGCAAUACAACGGCCGUAACUUCGGAAUAAGGCCUGCCCCGCGCAAGCGGGGCCGCAGUGAACGACGUCAACCGACUGUUUACCAAAAACACAGGUCCCUGCUAAGCCGUAAGGCGAUGUAUAGGGGCUGAUGCCUGGCCAGUGUCAGAACGUUAAGGUAAGAGGUCAUUCCGCCGCAAGGCGGAGGCAGCCUUGAACUGAAGCGCUGAUGAACGCCGGCGGUAACUAUAACCGUCCUAAGGUAGCGAAAUUCCUUGUCGGGUAAGUUCCGACCUGCACGAAUGGCAUAACGAGUUGACGACUGUCUCAACGAGGGACUCGGUGAAAUUGCAAGACCCGUGAAGAUGCGGGUUACCCACGGCUAGACGAAAAGACCCCGUGAAGCUUUACUACAGCUUGGUAUUGAGCGUUAGGAGUGCUUGCUCAGCAUAGGUGGGACGCUUUGAAGCCCUGACUCCGGUUGGGGUGGAGCGGAAAUAUGAGAUACCACCCUAGUGAUUUUAGCGUUCUAACCCCACGCCGUUAUCCGGCUGGGGGACAGUAUCUGGCAGGUAGUUUGACUGGGGCGGUCGCCUCCUAAAAUGUAACGGAGGCGUUUACUAAGGUUGGCUAGCUCCCGAUGGAAACGGGAGUGGUAGGGCAAACCCAUAAGCCAGCUUUACUGCAAGGGCGACAACCCGAGCAGUUGCGAAAGCAGAAGUUAGUGAUCCGACGAUCCAAUAUAGGAUGGUCGAAGCUCAACGGAUAAAAGUUACUCCGGGGAUAACAGGCUGAUCGGGUCCAAGAGUCCACAUCGACGACCCGGUUUGGCACCUUAACAUAUCGGGGUGCAUAAACAGUGAUGUUUAUCCAAUAUUUUCGUUUAAAUUGUUUUGUUAGUUUAGACAGGACCAAAGACCAUAAUCGGCUUAUAACGGUGAACCCGUCAUCCAUCAUCCGCCAACUGGCGGAGGUGGAUCGGCAACACCGUGGGAAGUCGUCCCGCUUAGCGGGAUUGACCCCGUAACGACUGACCCGAAAGGGGAGAUUUUCGUCCGCCCGGAAAGGCGGGUGGAGAUAAUACGCCGACACUUGCUACGCAAACACUGAGAUUACGCGGGUCACGUUCCGUCCCUUUGGCGGAAUCCGCUACCAUCCAGAGCAAGCAGAAGAUAUAGUCUACGCCACAUGAAAGUGUGGAAACGAGUACGAUGUCGGCUCAUCGCAUCCUGGGGCUGGAGAAGGUCCCAAGGGUUUGGCUGUUCGCCAAUUAAAGCGGUACGCGAGCUGGGUUCAGAACGUCGUGAGACAGUUCGGUCUCCUGUCUGUCGUGGGCGCUCGAAACUUGAGAAGGCUCUUCCCUAGUACGAGAGGACCGGGAAGAACGAACCUCUAGUGUACCAGUUGGUCUACCAAGGCCAUCGCUGGGUAGCUACGUUCGGCACGGAUAAACGCUGAAAGCAUCUAAGUGUGAAGCCGUCUUCAAGAUUAGGUUUCGUUAUAGGAACCAGGGAGAAUACCUGGUUGAUAGGUGGCAGGUGUAAGGCCCGCAAGGGUUUGAGCCGAGCCAUACUAAUCGUCCGAAGGUUUAACCAC
rnacentral:rRNA from 1 species